UCAAGCAACUAAGCGCAUACGGUGGAUGCCUUGGCAGUCAGAGGCGAUGAAAGACGUGACAGCCUGCGAAAAGCGUCGGGGAGGCGGCAAUAUCCUGUGAUCCGGCGAUAUCUGAAUGGGGAAACCCACCUACCAUAAGGUAGGUACCCCGCUAUAUUUUAUAGCGGGGGGCAAACCGGGAGAAGUGAAACAUCUCAGUAACCCGAGGAAAAGACAUCAAUAGAGAUUCCCCUAGUAGCGGCGAGCGAACGGGGAGGAGCCGA
rnacentral:rRNA from 1 species